rnacentral:lncRNA from 1 species
CCUUCAAGCCUUGCGUUAUUGUGCACAUACUUUUUUAAGAUGCAUAAAAAUCUGCAAACAAAAAUAAAUUUUAAUUUUAAAAAUAUAUUUAUAUCUUAUAACUGAUAUGACAAAUAACGUAUAACUUCUUUACCUUUCAAUAGGAUACAUCCAUCGAUAAUAUAUCGGUCUGAUUAAAAGAGCUUCUUUUGGAAGAUGGACAACCAGAU